rnacentral:rRNA from 1 species
UACGGGGGGGGCAAGCGUUGUUCGGAAUUACUGGGCGUAAAGGGCUGGUAGGCGGCCAACUAAGUCGGAUGUGAAAUCCCCAGGCUUAACCUGGGAACUGCAUCCGAUACUGGUUGGCUUGAAUCCGGGAGAGGGAUGCAGAAUUCCAGGUGUAGCGGUGAAAUGCGUAGAUAUCUGGAGGAACACCUAUGGCGAAGGCAGCUCGCUGGGACGUUACUGACGCUGAGACGCGAAAAGCGUGGGGGAGCAAACAGG